rnacentral:rRNA from 1 species
ACGAACGCUGGCGGCGUGCCUAAUACAUGCAAGUCGAGCGGAAUGAUGAAGAAGCUUGCUUCUUCUGAUUUUAGCGGCGGACGGGUGAGUAACACGUGGGCAACCUACCUUGUAGAUUGGGAUAACUCCGGGAAGCCGGGGCUAAUACCGAAUAAUCCAUUUUGCUUCAUGGCGAGAUGUUGAAAGAUGGUUUCGGCUAUCACUUACGGAUGAGCCCGCGGCGCAUUAGCUAGUUGGUAGGGUAAUGGCCUACCAAGGCGACGAUGCGUAGCUGACCUGAGAGGGUGAUCGGCCACACUGGGACUGAGACACGGCCCAGACUCCUACGGGAGGCAGCAGUAGGGAAUCUUCCACAAUGGACGAAAGUCUGAUGGAGCAACGCCGCGUGGGUGAAGAAGGUUUUCGGAUCGUAAAACUCUGUUGUAAGGGAAGAACACGUACGAGAGUAACUGCUCGUACCUUGACGGUACCUUAUUAGAAAGCCACGGCUAACUACGUG